rnacentral:rRNA from 1 species
AUUGAACGCUGGCGGCAUGCCUUACACAUGCAAGUCGAACGGUAACGGGCCUUCGGGUGCCGACGAGUGGCGAACGGGUGAGUAAUACAUCGGAACGUGCCCGAUCGUGGGGGAUAACGAGGCGAAAGCUUUGCUAAUACCGCAUACGAUCUACGGAUGAAAGCAGGGGACCGCAAGGCCUUGCGCGGACGGAGCGGCCGAUGGCAGAUUAGGUAGUUGGUGGGAUAAAAGCUUACCAAGCCGACGAUCUGUAGCUGGUCUGAGAGGAUGAUCAGCCACACUGGGACUGAGACACGGCCCAGACUCCUACGGGAGGCAGCAGUGGGGAAUUUUGGACAAUGGGCGCAAGCCUGAUCCAGCCAUGCCGCGUGCAGGAUGACGGCCUUCGGGUUGUAAACUGCUUUUGUACGGAACGAAAAGCCUUCUUUUAAUACAGGAGGGUCAUGACGGUACCGUAAGAAUAAGCACCGGCUAACUACGUG